UGUGUGUGUGUGUGUGUGUGUGUGUGUGUGUGUGUAGUCUUUCUGCUCAGUUCAAUUAUUUAAAAUUUGACUCUUUAUUUAUUGCAGUGUGAGUCGACGACAAGGUGGCAGCAGCUCGUCCUCGUCCUCGUCCUCGUCCUCAUCCUCAUCAUAAAUGUUUGUGGAGAAUGAAGAGCUCAGGGCCGGCAGACGGAUGGUGGAGGAGCGAAGGAUGAUGAGGUGUUGAAUACGGGACAGAGGAGAUGAGGAGACCGCUCAUCAAUCACACCCGGCCCUGUGUGAUUAUCCUGAGCGUUAGCAUCCCGGAGAUGAUGCCUGGACAAUUCCCCAAGCAACAAGAUGACAUCAUCAAA